rnacentral:rRNA from 1 species
UACAGAGGUCUCAAGCGUUGUUCGGAUUCAUUGGGCGUAAAGGGUGCGUAGGUGGCGGGGUAAGUCAGGUGUGAAAUCUCAGGGCUCAACCCUGAAACUGCAUUCGAUACUGCGCGGCUAGAGUGCUGGAGGGGAGACUGGAAUUUACGGUGUAGCAGUGAAAUGCGUAGAUAUCGUAAGGAAGACCAGUGGCGAAGGCGAGUCUCUGGACAGCAACUGACGCUGAGGCACGAAGGCCAGGGGAGCAAACGGG